rnacentral:rRNA from 1 species
UACGAAGGGGGCUAGCGUUGCUCGGAAUCACUGGGCGUAAAGCGCACGUAGGCGGGUCAUUAAGUCGGGGGUGAAAUCCUGGAGCUCAACUCCAGAACUGCCUUCGAAACUGAUGAUCUUGAGUUCGGGAGAGGUGAGUGGAACUGCGAGUGUAGAGGUGAAAUUCGUAGAUAUUCGCAAGAACACCAGUGGCGAAGGCGGCUCACUGGCCCGAUACUGACGCUGAGGUGCGAAAGCGUGGGGAGCAAACAGG